CCCCACCGGCGACCCUCAGGUGAAGGAGCCCACGGGGAUCCCGGCACACGGCGGGGACCGGCCCCCUCCCCGCCAUCACCACCCCGGCGGCGGCGGCGGCAGCGGUUGCUGAGCAGCGCCCGAGUCGCAAAAGCGGCGGCGCCAGGCCCGGGAGAGGGAUAGGGAGCGCUAGCCGGAGCAGCCCCGUCUCGCCUCGGUACCCCAAGGUAUGAAACUGGGACCUGAGCCUGCUGUCACUCAGGAGCUCUCACUGGUUGUGGAAAUGAAGCUAUCUGUCGUAACCCUGUACCUGUAAUACUUCACAGAGGCACAGACUAUAAAGAAGGUGCUCAGAGAUGGUGGCAGUCACCAGCAGCUACAUAACUAAGGAACUGACAUUCAUGAGAAGAGCCUUUAGACAGAAAAUAAGAGAAAUCGAAGCAUUAAGGGAGAAGACAAUGGAUAAAGGUGAAUUUGGAGACAUGAAGAGAGAGACCUUGAAGAAGAAGUCAAGAUGCAGAAAGAACAGGUCACAAACAGAGGUCAAACCAGAAACCUGAGCAACUAAAAAUUUGGAUGACACAUUUUGAUAAAACCAAGAUGAAAGUAGCUAAAAGUAGAUAUGAAGUAAAAAAGCAAAUCUUCAAAGCUGAAUAAUGAAACACUGAGGGAAAGUGGGAAAAAAGAGCAGUGUAGUGAGCAACAGAACUCCUGUUGUCUGAUUUCUUAAAAAUUUGUUUCUUAUGACUUCACUUUCUUUUGUUGAGGAAAAUGCAAACUUUGAGUGAAGUUUUUCCUGGUGUUGACAAUUAAUAAUAAUUAAUAAUUAAUAAUUGUACAUUCACUGGAAGAAGGAGCACAUGCUGCAGCCUUUCCAGCAGGAAAGGCAAGCGCAAAUCUUUUUUCUUCACCCAGUCAUCAAUCUUCAUGAGAACUGCAGAAAGUUGGUAUUUUUAAGAUCUUCACUCUGUUAUUGCUGAGGUUUCAGCUUACCAAUGGGUUAAAGAAUGGGUCAUUAGAUUUAGAUGCUCACAUAAACACACACAUAGCUGAAUCAAAUAAGCCUUAAGAAAUAAGACAAAUUGGGUGGAACAAAUCCCAGUGGAAGAAGAGCUGGGGUUAUUGAGUGGAAAGGAGAUGAAUGAGGCAAGACAAAGAGAAAACUUUGUCAUGGCUCCAGGACAAAUGGUGAUAGAGGAGGUAAAACACACUGAGAUAGUGUUUAAUAUAAAGAGACCUGAGAAGGAGGCAGAGGAGACUGAUUUAUUGAAAAACAGGAGGGGAAGGGAUAGGAUGUGAAAAGACUGUGUCUGACUGCUUCUGAAGUAGGAAGGGGAAGAGGAAGCUCUGUCUCCCCAGUGAUGGGCAAUAUGGAACAUGAGGUUUGUAAGGCAGAAGAGAGCUCAGUAAACUGAAGGAGGAGAUAAUGAGAAGGAAAGUGAGCAUAUGCAGCAGUGGAAAAUACAGUAGUGCCACCUUACUGAAGUGACAGAAGGCAGUGGGCCCCGGCAGCCAAGGACAGAGAUGUGGAUAUGGGGAAAGGAUAAGCUGACAUAAGGAUGAACUGUGUGAAGAAAAUUGGGUAAUGGGCAUUAGAUCACUUCUGCCUUGCAACUGUGUGCCAGAGCAUGAGGACAAAGGCUGGAAAGGGCUGGCAGGCCUGCUCAGCUGUUCUGUGGUGUGGAUGCUGCCAAAGGGGCAGGUGGAGCAUAACUGAUAAAUGCUUUGUUCAUGGGAGAAAUAUUGAAUUAUGCCUGGUAAUUAUACAGCAAGGGAACUAAUGAUAAUGAUGUGCCUGUGUAUCAGUGGCCCUGGGAGUAUCCAUUAAUCAUUUUUACCAGUCAAAGAUGGUUGUGAACUCUCCAACAAGACAUGGCUUCGUCAGAGCAGGCUGGUAUCAGCACUGGGAUGGGAUCAGCAUCCGUGAUGAAUCAUGGAGUGGGAUUCCAAGGGACUGCCAGGCAUCCAGCCCCUACAAGCAAGGGAGCCAACUGGCUUGGGGGCCUAGAAACUCUGAAACUGCUUCCAGAGGGCAGACACAUCCCAGCGAUCCAGACCCGGGAAGGGAACAGACACUGAGCAAAAUUAACACCAUCAUCAAAGUCACAGCUGCUGUUCAGGAGGUGGGCAGCACUGAGCCCAGCAAGCACCACACCAAUUUCAGCCAGCAACUGCCAGGGGUCAUACUUCAUUUCAGAAAUCCCAUGUGUUGGUAUUUGCAGGCUAUCUUUUCAACAGAAAUUCUGUCUUACAGGAAACAUCAGAAAAUGGUGUCUUUCCCAGCCUAAAUAAAAUAUAUCUGUAUUUCUAAGAUUUGGCUGACUUUGUUUGCCACAUAUAUUUGCUACCUGCAGGAUUGUAGGUUUCUGAGUCAUGGUGAAUCAUUAAAAGGUUUUUGCACUUGGAA